AACGGUGUCAACUCUUCCUGCUCCAGUCCCCGGACCUCGGCCAGAGGACACAGGGGAGACCGUGGGGAAAUUUCUGUCUGUCAAUGUUUUAUCUCAAAACUGAUUAUCAACACUCGCUGAUGAUGACUUGCAUCUUGCUGAUAGUUUUGCAGCAUGGCCCACAUCCUGUUAUAGCUUCCUCUUCAUCCACAUUGGUUCCAGUGAGCAUCUAAUGUGGUCUUCAGUUAAGUUCAGGUCAUCAGUCAUGGACAAAAGUGUGCUGCUGGUCCUGUUGUGUCUGCAGGUUUUCCUGCUCAUCACAUCCUUCACUUCUACCGAUGCAGCCGCUCUGGUGAGAGAUGAUCCUCAACAACCGUCUAUUGAUCUGGUAGAGAGAGGUUGUGGGCGAAAACGUGGAGCAUGCAGGCUAAAGGACCAGUAGUAUCUUUGUGGUAUACUGGUACAAUAUACGGGCACCAUGUUUCCAUUUAACUACCAACUGGGAGACCUGAGUGCUCCACUCCAAUCAACCCAAGAACAGAUGUCAUCGUCAAACAUAAUUUUCUGCAAAAGGUUGCAUGUCAUCUAUUUUCAAUGUGAAUUUCAAUAACAAAAAGUGGUGAAAAAUGGUGUAUUUUUCAGCCAAGUCUACCAAUACAUUUGAAUUGUAGUGCUUGUGAAUGUGCACUAAUUUGUUAUGUUUAUGGUACAGGGUUUGUUUGAAUCCCAUGUUGGCUGAAAAUGUGGCUGCUUCUGUUUAUGUGGAUGUAAAAGUACAUUAAAGUGCAUUAAA